rnacentral:rRNA from 1 species
UACGUAGGUGGCAAGCGUUGUCCGGAAUCACUGGGCGUAAAGGGCGCGUAGGCGGCUUGAUAAGGUUGCGGUGAAAGCCCGGGGCUCAACCCCGGGUCGGCCGUGCGAACUGUCGAGCUGGAGCACUGUAGAGGCAGGUGGAAUUCCGGGUGUAGCGGUGGAAUGCGUAGAGAUCCGGAAGAACACCGGUGGCGAAGGCGGCCUGCUGGGCAGUGGCUGACGCUGAGGCGCGACAGCGUGGGGAGCAAACAGG